rnacentral:rRNA from 1 species
AGUGAACGCUGGCGGUAGGCCUAACACAUGCAAGUCGAACGGCAGCACAGUAAGAGCUUGCUCUUACGGGUGGCGAGUGGCGGACGUGUGAGGAAUACAUCGGAAUCUACUUUUUCGUGGGGGAUAACGUAGGGAAACUUACGCUAAUACCGCAUACGACCUACGGGUGAAAGCAGUGGAUCUUCGGACCUUGCGCGAUUGAAUGAGCCGAUGUCGGAUUAGCUAGUUGGCGGGGUAAAGGCCCACCAAGGCGACGAUCCGUAGCUGGUCUGAGAGGAUGAUCGCCCACACUGGAACUGAGACACGGUCAAGACUCCUACGGGAGGCAGCAGUGGGGAAUAUUGGACAAUGGGCGCAAGCCUGAUCCAGCCAUACCGCGUGGGUGAAGAAGGCCUUCGGGUUGUAAAGCCCUUUUGUUGGGAAAGAAAAGCAGCAGGUUAAUACCCCGCUGUUCUGACGGUACCCAAAGAAUAAGCACCGGCUAACUUCGUG